UUUUUUUUUUUUUUUUGGACGGGGUGGGGGGCCUCAUUCUGCCACUCAGGCUACAGUGCAGUGGUGCAAUUAUAGCUCAUUGCAGUCUUGACUUCCUGAGUUCAAGCAAUCUUCCCACUUCAGCCUGCCAAAGUAUUAGGAUUACAGGCAUGAGUCACCAUGCCCGGCCCUCAAGCAUGCUUAAUUUAGGUGCUGUGAUGGUUAAUGUUUUGUGUCAACUUGGCUAGGCCACAGUGCGUAACUGUAUGAUAAAAUGUUAUUCUGGAUGUUUCCAGGGGGAUGUUUUUAGAUGAGAUUAAUAUUUAAAUCAGUAGAUUUUGAGUCAGGCAGUUAGUUUGCCCUUCGUAAUUUAGAUGGGCCUCACCCAGUGAAUUGAAGGUCUAAAUAGAACAAAAGGCUGACUUCCCCUGAGUUAAAAAGAAUCUAUCAGCAGACGGCCUUCAGACUUGAACUGCAAUGUUGGCUCUUCUUGAGUCUCCAGCCUGACAGCCCACUCUGCAGAUUUCAGACUUGCUUGUCUUCAUAAUCAGAAUGUAGAAGCAAGGCCUGGAGGUGAAGCAGUCAUCUUGCAUUCAUGCCACAACUAGCAUGAGGGUGAAUGUCUAUAUAGUAAGGAUGGCAGAGCAGAAAGACGAAAAGAGGCUGGAACCCUGGAAGCAAUUUGAAGCCACUGUACCUAUCCCCACAUUUGUAAUGGAUGAGACAAAUAAACCCCUAUUUGUUUAAGCCACUGUAGUACAGUUUUCUGUUAUUUACAGAGGAACGCAUUAUGAUAUAGAUUACAUGGUACAAAGAUCAAAUUUCUCUUCUAGAAGAUAAGUUGACCUGAGGAAAAGUCCUGUAACGCACAGAGAGAAGCCAAUCAGAAGGCUCCUGCAGGAACCCAGGAAAAAGACAGUGAGGCCUUGAAGGAUUUAGUAUGAGAAAAACGUAAAUUAUCACAACUUUUUGUCAAGUUUGUGAAUUUUUCCAUAAUUCUUAUGAUUAAAAUAAUUAUAUAACCACACACUUAUCAAAUAUUAAAUUGAAAAUUAUUUCCAGAUAAAA